rnacentral:rRNA from 1 species
UACGUGAGCCCCAAGCAUUAUCCGGAAUCAUUGGGCGUAAAGGGUCCGUAGGCGGUUAUGUUAGUCUCCUGUUAAAGCACCGGGCUCAACCCGGGAUCGGCAGGGGAAACGGCAUGACUAGAGAAUGACAGAGGUGUGUGGAACUCAAGGUGUAGGGGUGAAAUCCGUUGAUAUCUUGGGGAACACCGAAAGCGAAGGCAGCACACUGGGUCAUUUCUGACGCUGAGGGACGAAACCCUGGGUAGCGAACAGG